GAUGGAAUAUAAGAAAAGUAUUUUGUGAUGGUGGAGUAUAAGAAAGCAAUAGAGAGAUUGUUAAUAGCAGCCGACAAAAUUAAGAAUGAGGCACAUUCUAUUUCGUGUUCCUCCUCCAACCAACACCUCCCACUUCCCUCUGCCCCCCUUACCCCCAAACUACAAUCCUCUACAUAUACAUAUCUGUAUCUAACUCUUAGUAUUGCUUCAAGAAAGUUUGAUUCAACUUGUAAAUUUUCAAUUUUGAAAGUUGGGUACUUGUUUUUUUUUGAAUUGGGGUUAGCUCCAUGUGGGAUUCUUGAAUUUUGAUUUGAUGAAUUUCCUUCCAAGAUGUUUGAGUUACAGUGAAUGUAGUGGUGGAGCUGGAAGAAGUGAAAUUAGGGGUGGUGAAAGUUCCAAUGGUGGAUUUGGGAAAGAUGGGUUGUUGUGGUUUCAUGAUAUUGGGAAUUGUGGGAGUGGGGAAUAUUCCAUGGCUAUUGUGCAAGCUAAUCAGGUCUUAGAGGAUCAGAGCCAGAUUGAGUCUGGUCCAUUUGGAACUUUUGUUGGAGUCUAUGAUGGUCAUGGUGGACCUGAAACUGCUCGUUAUGUUUGUGAUCACUUAUUUCGACAUUUCCAAGCAAUAUCAGCUGAAGGAAAUGGUGUAGUCACAGAGGAGACAAUUCAAAGGGCCUUUCUUGAGACAGAGAGAGGGUUUACUUCUGUUGUUUCGGAAAAUUGGCAUUCUCGACCACAACUAGCAACAGUGGGGGCAUGCUGCCUGGUUGGAGCUAUAUAUCAGCAGACACUCUUUGUAGCAAAUCUUGGUGACUCUCGUGUAGUCCUUGGAAAGAAGGUUGGAAACACUGGAGAAAUUGCUGCCAUGCAGCUAUCAACGGAGCAUAAUGCCAAUAUUGAGUCUGUUAGGUGGGAGCAAAAAGACUUGCAUCCAAAUGAUCCUCAAAUUGUUGUUCUUAGACAUGGUGUUUGGAGGGUAAAAGGAAUAAUUCAGGUCUCAAGAUCCAUUGGUGAUGUUUAUCUUAAACACACAAGAUUUUGCAGGGAACCAACAAAUGGAAAAUUCAGAGUUCCUCAACCCCUUAAUAUGCCUAUCCUGUUGGCCACUCCAACAAUUUUAAAACAUCCUCUACAUCCAAAUGACUCCUUCCUCAUAUUUGCUUCUGAUGGUCUAUGGGAGCACUUGAGCAAUGAAAAGGCCGUUGAAAUUGUGAAGAGUCACCCUCGUAAAGGAAGUGCAAAGAGGCUUGUCAAGGCUGCUCUCCAUGUAGCUGCCAAAAAAAGAGAGAUGCGAUAUUCUGAUCUUCGAAACAUUGACAAAAAGAGAAUAUGGUUUCAAUUCUUUAAAAUGGCAAUGGAGGCUUGGCAUACGCCGUUGGUUUCAAGAACUUGGAGAUGGGGGUCAUUUUCUCAUCUUGCAAGGAAGUUUUCCUGCCAAAAGCACCAUUUGGAGGUUGGCAGGCAGGGGCAGAUCCAGGAAGUUCCUUGAGUUUAACUAGUUGGAGGAACAAUGGGCAACUGCACCUGACUCUCUUGAAGCAGUUGGUAGACUCUACUCCUCUCCCCGGUUUCAUUGUGCUCUACGUUCAAAGCUUCAACUCAAUCACUUGGAUGGACAUAUGGGAUUUGACCUACCAACCUCAAUAUCGAGUGUGAGAAUGGUAUCCAAGUGUUCUCUGCCCCUCCCAAUAGGACUUGUUUCUCAACCACUCGUUUACUACAAGAAUGUAUCAUGAUAAGAAUCAAAGCGAAGUGGUCUUGUGAAUGUCCAAUUCUCGCGUCUUUUUUAGGUGACCACAAACCAAGCAGAGGCGGAAAAGAUCAAACACAGGAAUAAGAAGCAAGCUCACCUUCCUUUUUGAUCAUUUGAAGAAAGUGCACUUUAGAUACUCGGUAACUUAAUUUCCCAAACUAAUAUACUUGUUUGAAAUAUCUCCAUGUUGUUGGAAAAAUGAUUCUAGUAUCUCAAAAGUUAUAUUAUUUCCUAUUAUACUUGAAAGAGAAUAUUAUUUUAUGUUCUAAAUAUUUCUCUCCAUAAAUAAUAUUCUAUUGCCAUUUUUUCCCCUGUUAUAAUAUGGUUGUUACAAAAUGUUUCUUUUGUUGAAAUGAAUUGCCUUCAAUUCAUUAAUGUGUUCAAUGCCUUUUAUGGUUUUUGACUAUUUCAACCAUUCACAUAUUUGAGAGGUUACUAAUUUCCUGUUGAUCGUAAAAACAGAAGCUUGUAAUAUAGCUAGACCAAAUUCAAUAAAUAUAGUAAGAUUCCAUUUUAUUUGUCUGCCUCCCCCCCUCCCCCC